AUUGAUUAUAGUCAUGGACUUUACGAAGACCCUGUAAUUUUUGAUGAACAAGGCUAUAUAGCAGGUAUCUGCUACAGACUGGUAAAUUGCAAUUUGUAUCAUGUUUGAAAAGUGGUAUCUGCACAAAUUAGCAGUACACAGCUCUUAGAAAGCACCAGAAUUUUAAAAUAUAUCUCUGGAAUAGUCUCUCACAUUUAACAAGUUGUGAG